rnacentral:rRNA from 1 species
UACGUAGGUGGCAAGCGUUGUCCGGAAUUACUGGGUGUAAAGGGUGCGCAGGCGGGCAGACAAGUCGGGUGUGAAAAAUCGAGGCUCAACCUCGAUCCUGCACUCGAAACUGUAGGUCUUGAGUGGUGGAGAGGUAAGUGGAAUUCCCAGUGUAGCGGUGGAAUGCGUAGAUAUUGGGAGGAACACCAGUGGCGAAGGCGACUUACUAGACACUAACUGACGCUGAGGCACGAAAGCGUGGGGAGCAAACAGGAUUAGAUACCCUGGUA